UUGAAGGAGGAAGAUCCGGCAAGCUAAAAAGGAAGCUGCAAGAAGGUGAAGGAGAACGGAUCCGCAUUGAUGAAGAAGUUUAUGCCAACGUCUCUCCUUGCCUGCGUCGUCCUCCUCCUGCUGUUCCCACGCAGAGCGAGCAGUAAAUAGCAGAAUCUCUCAGCAGAAUACGAUCAGGAGGCUUUUGUCAGGGAACAAAAGGUGGUGGUGGAGGGGACAACGCAAACCGCUCUUCCUUGUUGUGACUGGCAUGGCAGCCUCGUUGACGUUAAUUGAGCUGCCUCCAAUCCGCUCAGGUAUUCAUUAUUUCAAAUCGCACUUUUGCAUUCUUUUUCUUCCCUUGUUGUUGCCACAGCGCACGUGAUGAUAUCCUCCACUGGCUCUCGCACACUGUUUGCCGCAGGGUCACUGAAACUGACAAUCCCCACGCCACUCUGCCUUAAGGCUUUCUUUAUCUCACCAUGAUGGAGUUUCUCUUGCAGAAAAAGAAA